rnacentral:lncRNA from 1 species
GGGGAUGUGUGGGGAAGAAAGAAUCGGAAACCUGUGUUUCGGGUCACUGGCGCAUCCGCGUCACCACGAGGGAAAGAACUUUUUGGUCCCCCUGGUAGAUUAUGGCGAUGAUUUUCAACUGGUUUCGGCUGAGCAGAAUGGAAUUGUUAACCAUCUGUUUAAAAGUCGGGAAUGGCUGCUUCGAAGUAAUCUAUCGGAAAAUCUACUCGACCAUCUUUCUUAGAACAUCCGACCAGCUUUUCUUCGCUUUCUUAAAUAAGAGGAUUGGAGCCACCGAUUUAGGAAUUACAUUCGAUACUCGUCUUUUUUUAAGCUUCGCACCGAAUUGCUUCUACCGACAGAUAUAUCAAUACUCUCCAGGGUAAAGAUUCCGAUUUAUGGCUUGGUUCGUUUCUUCUAUUAACUAUGGAAUGUCGAUCUACGUAUCCGGAGCCGAC